rnacentral:rRNA from 1 species
GAUGAACGCUGACAGAAUGCUUAACACAUGCAAGUCUUUGGCGAAGCUGUGCUUGCACAGCCUAGCCAAGGCGGACGGGUGAGUAACGCGUAAGGAACUUGCCCUGCAGUCAGGGAUAACAGACGGAAACGACUGAUAAGACCUGGUAAAGUCAGGCGGACUCAUGUCCAGCCUGAUGAAAAGAGAUGCUGCAGGAGAGCCUUGCGUCCUAUUAGCUUGUUGGUGGGGUAACGGCCCACCAAGGCGAUGAUAGGUAGCCGGCCUGAGAGGGUGGACGGCCACACGGGGACUGGGAGACGGCCCAUACUCCUACGGGAGGCAGGAGUGGGGAAUAUUGGACAAUGGGGGCAGCCCUGAUCCAGCAAUUCUGUGUGAACGAUGAAGGUUUUCGGAUUGUAAAGUGCUUUCAGCAGGGAGGAAGAAAUGACGGUACCUGCAGAAGAAGCGACGGCUAAAUACGUG